AGAGUUUGAUCCUGGCUCAGGAUGAACGCUGGCGGCGUGCUUAACACAUGCAAGUCGAACGAAGCAUAUAGAGACGAGUAUUUCGGUAUGAGUAACUAUAUGACUGAGUGGCGGACGGGUGAGUAACGCGUGGAUAACCUGCCUCAUACAGGGGGAUAACAGUUAGAAAUGACUGCUAAUACCGCAUAAGCGCACAGUGCUGCAUGGCUCGGUGUGAAAAACUCCGGUGGUAUGGGAUGGGCCCGCGUCUGAUUAGGCAGUUGGCGGGGUAACGGCCCACCAAACCGACGAUCAGUAGCCGGCCUGAGAGGGCGACCGGCCACAUUGGGACUGAGACACGGCCCAAACUCCUACGGGAGGCAGCAGUAGGGAAUAUUGCACAAUGGGGGAAACCCUGAUGCAGCGACGCCGCGUGAAGGAUGAAGUAUUUCGGUAUGUAAACUUCUAUCAGCAGGGAAGAAAAUGACGGUACCUGACUAAGAAGCCCCGGCUAACUACGUGCCAGCAGCCGCGGUAAUACGUAGGGGGCAAGCGUUAUCCGGAUUUACUGGGUGUAAAGGGAGCGUAGACGGCAGUGCAAGUCUGAAGUGAAAGCCCGGGGCUCAACCCCGGGACUGCUUUGGAAACUGUGCAGCUAGAGUGUCGGAGAGGCAAGCGGAAUUCCUAGUGUAGCGGUGAAAUGCGUAGAUAUUAGGAGGAACACCAGUGGCGAAGGCGGCUUGCUGGACGAUGACUGACGUUGAGGCUCGAAAGCGUGGGGAGCAAACAGGAUUAGAUACCCUGGUAGUCCACGCCGUAAACGA
rnacentral:rRNA from 1 species